rnacentral:rRNA from 1 species
UACGGAGGGUGCAAGCGUUGUUCGGAAUCACUGGGCGUAAAGCGCACGUAGGCGGAUUGCUAAGUCAGGGGUGAAAUCCUGGAGCUCAACUCCAGAACUGCCCUUGAUACUGGCGGUCUCGAGUCCGGGAGAGGUGAGUGGAACUGCGAGUGUAGAGGUGAAAUUCGUAGAUAUUCGCAAGAACACCAGUGGCGAAGGCGGCUCACUGGCCCGGUACUGACGCUGAGGUGCGAAAGCGUGGGGAGCAAACAGG